rnacentral:lncRNA from 1 species
CCCUUUUCCCCCAGCCGUAUUUGCUGUCAAUGAGACCACACGAUCCCUCAACAGAAUUCUGGAAAAGAGCCUGAGGACACUUACCUGCAGCAACCAUUAUAUGCAGACUGGAUAAACAUUCUAAUGGGUCUUGUACAUACAAGUAUUUUAUGUAAUGCUUAGAUACCUUUACCCAAGGCUCAGUUGGCUGUGGCUUUCCCCUGUCCUCCCAGCUAGCUUUAGAAAUAAACGCAGCCCAACCAAAUAAGAACAAGAAAAAGCUAUUUAUUCAGAGCUUGCCAUAGCAAGGGAGUCAGCCAGCAUCACUUGCGUUUUGGCAGACACUCAAAGGAAGAUAGAGGAGAGCGAAACCUUUAUUGCAGAAGAAAAAGAAGACUUGGUGUGCUCUGAUUGCAGCUGUUGUCAUGGGGAACCUGAAGGCUGUACAAGAAGCACAGCAGCUUCUGCUUCUGGGGAGCCCUCAGGAAACUUACAAUCAUGGCGGAAGGUGAAAGCCCGAACUCUCAUCUUGAUCGCGAUACAAAAUAAAUAUUGGCUCUAUCAGAACAAUUGGAUUGUCUUAUUUUUGUCACUGACAACAUGGUAGGCUCAACCCCCGUGUCAAUUUCUGAGAUGGCAAAAUCAGCAGUAACUGAGGCAAAGCACCAUUAACGGACAAGACAAUUUCAUCAAGCAAAAUCUGACAAAUAACAUAUCGCUGUUUGUCAUCAAGAUACUUAAUAUACCAGGGGCUGCUCCCAAAGCUCCCAUGAUCAAUGUUUGCUAAUUUACCAAUUCUGUGGCUCUGUGAGGGUGCUGGUAAUUUCAUAUUUUACACACCCACAGAGGUUACGGUAAUUGAUUCAGUUCUAGAAAGUACUGUAAUGACUUUGAAGCAUAGCAGCUUCUGCUUCUGGGGAGGCCUCAGGAAACUUACAAUCAUGGCAGAAAGUGAAGGAGAAACAAGACGGGGCUUUAGUACUCUGGUACCAUAAUAGCGUAAGGAGCCCCAGAAAGUAUUGGAUAACCAAGAAUCAAUAAAGGAAAAAACCAAGUCUGCUCUGGGACAUGAGCUCAAGAAUCCAUGAUGCUUCUCAUUAGAGUACAUUAGAUCCAAUGACGUGCAGUUUCUAAAUCUUGGUCUUCCAAAUAUCAAAUUCCCAGUGGGGAAUCCGAUUUUCCCAGGUCCAGCCAGGUGCUCAUGCCUGGGAUCAUUCAGCUAUGAUUGGGUUGGCAGAGACUGGGUUGGCAGAGGAAGGGGUUCCUAUAUAGUGGGGUCAUUAUUGUGAGCCAGAUAGACGUCCCAAGAGGUCUCAGAGUGCUAGUGUUGGGAGGUAUUAUCCACAUUCGUUCGUUUUUCUGUCUCCAUUCCAAGAAAAGACAAUCUGAAGCUUAUCUUUUUGCUUUGAGACAAAUCAAGACAUAAACCAAGAAAGCAGGAACUAGAAGAGAAGAAGGCUACAUGGGGAACACUGAC